rnacentral:rRNA from 1 species
CACGUAGGGCGCAAGCGUUGUCCGGAAUUAUUGGGCGUAAAGAGCUCGUAGGCGGUCUGUUGCGUCCGCUGUGAAAACUCGGGGCUUAACCCCGAGCCUGCAGUGGGUACGGGCAGACUAGAGUGCGGUAGGGGAGAUUGGAAUUCCUGGUGUAGCGGUGGAAUGCGCAGAUAUCAGGAGGAACACCGAUGGCGAAGGCAGAUCUCUGGGCUGAUAACUGACGCUGAGGAGCGAAAGCAUGGGGAGCGAACAGG